UACAGAGGAUGCAAGCAUUAUCCGGAAUGAUUGGGCGUAAAGCAUCUGUAGGUGGCUUUUUAAGUCCGCCGUCAAAUCCCAGGGCUCAACUCUGGACAGGCGGUGGAAACUACCAAGCUGGAGUAUGGUAGGGGCAGAGGGAAUUUCCGGUGGAGCGGUGAAAUGCGUAGAGAUCGGAAAGAACACCAACGGCGAAAGCACUCUGCUGGGCCGACACUGACAUUGAGAGACGAAAGCUAGGGGAGCGAAUGGG
rnacentral:rRNA from 1 species